AGCUUGUAAUGAUGGCGCUUGUCUAAAGAAUCAGAGAGUCAUGAGAACUUAUCAAGGGUAUCUGUGUAGUUGCUUUGUCUUCAGCAGCUCAUGAGUGAAAGGGACAUAAACAACACUCAGCCAAAUCAGAGCAAGGAAGCUGGAGUGCUACCCAUUCAUUUCUUUGUAGCUCUCUCUGAAUGGAGUAAAUAACUCUUUAACAUCAUGUUUAGGAAAAUAAUAAUCUUUACAUUUGCUCCAGGACUUCUCUGAUGCUGAGUGAUUUCCAGGUGUCAGAGUAGCCUGCUCAACUCACUGGGACACUUUGGUUUCACUCCUCUACUUUCCGACAUCUCAUCCAGUUUAGAUACUCCUCAGUAUUAAGAAGAUCCUCUCCAUAAAGUUGAAAGGAUUGGCAGUACAAGACGUCUCUAGGGGAAUGGCAUUGCCCUCUGUCAGGUAAGAACUGCCUUGGCAGGACAUCAGGAGACAGCCUGAAACUUGGGAGUCCUUCAUGCUUUGGAGAAAAGGCCUUCUGUCCAUCUCACAUGUGGGACAGACUUGCCAGUGUGUUAGAGAGGAACUACACAAGGAGAAGGAUUUGCUCAAAGUAAUGGACUCAAAGCCAGACGUAACCUGUGUGCUUCACUCCAACUCAGGAGGGGAUGUCUCAGGAAAAGGAGGCCAUGUGUAGAAUUACAGCAGGCAGCUGACCAGCACUGUGGGGUUUUAACUGCUGAGAAAUUUCCCACUGAAGAAUGAAUUCAUGAAGGACUGGUAAGUGCAUGCUGCACAGGGAAUUAUACAAGCCUUUUUCGAAGUCAACAUCAGGAGCAAGACUGUAUUCUCUAAAUUUACUUUAUAGCUGGUUGCCGUUUCACAGCACUGCUUGUAACACUGCAAGUUCUAAGUUUGCAUGGGAUUCUUUCAAGCAGUGAGCUGUUAUUCAUAAUGAAAGUUAUAAAUUCCUUUAAAGAUAUCCUGACUUUAAGAACAAGCUCAGUUGCUGCCUUUUAAGAAAAUAACUCCAGGAAGCUCCAUACAUCAAACGUAUGAGACCUAUGAGACCUUUGCAGUUAAAAUAUUGGUAUUUUAUACAUAUAAAUGCACACAUACUUUUGAUGAGUUUUCUAGAUUUCUACAGAAUUUGAGCAGCAAAGUUAGCUCCUGAUUCCUCUUACUGCCAGUAUCAUCCACAGAGGAGUGUGAGAAAGCAAAAAAAAAGAAAAAAAAUUUAAAAGAUCCCUCAGAGUUGAGAGCAAUUGAAUUUUCUAGAGACACUUGUACAGUU
rnacentral:lncRNA from 13 species